rnacentral:lncRNA from 1 species
GGGUGAAGAACUGGAUGAGGAUAACUAUCGGAGUGGAAGCUCAUAUGCUUGAGGAUGCACUUGAGAGACUCAAGGGUUUCUGUACACGCCAUACCAAGAAGACAGAUACAGAAACUGAGUCACCUUCAAGCGUUGAAAAUGAGUGAUAGUGUCGGGAUAGUGGAUAUUACAUGAAUUGUACACGCCCCCAAUGUACGUACAAUGUGCCAGGGGGAUGUUCUUGUCAUAUAUCAUGCCUUUCCCAUUCCCUUCUGUUUUAUUAUCUAACUAGGAUAAGAUCUGCGCCUUGCGCGGGGUUAGGCAAUGAAGUUAUUACAGUGGUCUAGAGAUCCGCAAGUUCGAUCUUCUUCCCGACAGAGAAUGGGAGAUCGAUCUCGAAGGCGUCGAAGCCGUUGCAGACGAGAACACUGUGGCCAUUGUUGUGAUCAACCCAAACAACCCAUGUGGAAACGUCUACUCUCACGACCAUCUCCACAAGGUAAAGCUUGAAUCUUUGAGUCCUUUCCGAUUCGUAACGCAGCUAAAAGCUCGAACAUUUUAUUUAUAGGUGGCAGAGACGGCUCGGAAGCUGGGGAUAAUGGUGAUCACAGACGAAGUGUACGACCAGACUAUAUUCGGAGACAACCCUUUCGUUCCGAUGGCCAAGUUCGCAUCGAUCGUCCCUGUGUUGACGCUGGGAGGCAUAUCCAAAGGUUGGGUUGUCCCUGGAUGGAAGAUUGGCUGGAUCGCCUUGAAUGAUCCCGAGGGCGUUUUCGAGUCCACCAAGGUCUCUCUUUACUUCUUUCUUCUCUUUGCUGCUUUGUAACCAAGUAAUCUUAGUAUGUAUAGUUAUUCUUCUGACAGGUGGUUCAAUCCAUCAAGCAGAGUCUAGACAUAACACCUGACCCUUCCACUAUCAUUCAGGUUUGUGUCUUGCUACUAUAGAAUAAUAAUGGGAUGGCUUGGCUUGGCUUGGUUGUUAAGUUAACUAGUCGUCCUUGAAUUCAUGAAUAUGUUUUUCUUUUUGACAGGCUGCACUUCCUGAGAUCCUGGAGAAAGUGGAUAAAAACUUCUUUGCAAAGAAGAACAAGAUACUCAAACAUAAUGUCGAUUUGGUGUGUGAUAGGCUCAAGGAUAUUCGCUGCGUCGUCUGUCCCAAGAAACCCGAGUCUUGCACUUAUCUAUUGGUACGGCUUUAGAACCUGAUUAACAGAUAAGCAUUCUCGAUAUUAACAGUUUUACUUACUGCAGACAAAGCUUGAGCUGUCAUUGUUGGAUGGCAUCAAGGAUGACAUUGAUUUUUGCGUGAAGCUGGCCAGAGAGGAAAACCUCGUGUUUCUUCCAGGUAAAGCAAAAUAACAUGAAUCUCGAUAUGGGAUUUGAUACUAAUAAUAGAUUUCGUUUGCAGGAGAGGCUCUGGGGGUGAAGAACUGGAUGAGGAUAACUAUCGGAGUGGAAGCUCAUAUGCUUGAGGAUGCACUUGAGAGACUCAAGGGUUUCUGUACACGCCAUACCAAGAAAACAGAUACAGAAACUGAGUCACCUUCAAGCGUUGAAAAUGAGUGAUAGUGUCGGUAUAGUGGAUAUUACAUGGAUUGUACACGCCCCCAAUGUACGUACAAUGUGCCAGGGGGAUGUUCUUGUCAUAUUUCAAUGCCUUUCCCAUUCCCUUCUGUUUUAUUAUCUAAUCUAAAUUUCAAACCAAAUAAAAACUGUUGUA